rnacentral:snRNA from 1 species
GCAUGAGCUAUUUUGUUUACU